GCGCCCAUGGCCCAAUGGAUAAGGUGACAGGUUCCGAUCCUGUAGAUGGGGGUUCGAUUCCCUCUGGGCGUACCA
rnacentral:tRNA from 2 species